rnacentral:rRNA from 1 species
GUGUCAGCCGCCGCGGUAAUACGAACUGUGCGAACGUUAUUCGGAAUCACUGGGCUUACAGGGUGCGUAGGCGGCUUUUCAAGUCAGGUGUGAAAGCCCCCGGCUCAACCGGGGAAUUGCGCUUGAAACUGGAGAGCUCGAGUCAGCUAGAGGUGCACGGAACUUCCAGUGGAGCGGUGAAAUGUGUUGAUAUUGGAAGGAACACCGGAGGCGAAAGCGGUGCACUGGGGCUGGUCUGACGCUGAGGCACGAAAGCCAGGGUAGCGAACGGGAUUAGAAACCCCCGUAGUCC